rnacentral:rRNA from 1 species
UACGAAGGGGCUAGCGUUGUUCGGAAUUACUGGGCGUAAAGCGCACGUAGGCGGAUCGAUCAGUCAGGGGUGAAAUCCCAGGGCUCAACCCUGGAACUGCCUUUGAUACUGUCGAUCUGGAGUAUGGAAGAGGUGAGUGGAAUUCCGAGUGUAGAGGUGAAAUUCGUAGAUAUUCGCAAGAACACCAGUGGCGAAGGCGGCUCACUGGCCCGGUACUGACGCUGAGGUGCGAAAGCGUGGGGAGCAAACAGGG